rnacentral:rRNA from 1 species
AGCGUUAUCGGAUUACUGGGCGUAAGCGCACGCAGGCGGUCUGUCAGUCGGAUCUGUGAAAUCCCCGGGCUCAACCUGGGAACUGCAUUCGAAACUGGCAGGCUAGAGUCUUGUAGAGGGGGGUAGAAUUCCAGGUGUAGCGGUGAUAUGCGUAGAGAUCUGGAGGAAUACCGGUGGCGAAGGCGGCCCCCUGGACAAAGACUGACGCUCAGGUGCGAAAGCGUGGGGAGCAAACAGGAUUAGAUACCCUGGUAGUCCACGCCGUAAACGAUGUCGAUUUGGAGGUUGUGCCCUUGAGGCGUGGCUUCCGGAGCUAACGCGUUAAAUCGACCGCCUGGGGAGUACGGCCGCAAGGUUAAAACUCAAAUGAAUUGACGGGGGCCCGCACAAGCGGUGGAGCAUGUGGUUUAAUUCGAUGCAACGCGAAGAACCUUACCUGGUCUUGACAUCCACAGAACUUUCCAGAGAUGCUUUGGUGCCUUCGGGAACUGUGAGACAGUGCUGCAUGGCUGUCGUCAGCUCGUGUUGUGAAAUGUUGGGUUAAGUCCCGCAACGAGCGCAACCCUUAUCCUUUGUUGCCAGCGGUUCGGCCGGGAACUCAAAGGAGACUGCCAGUGAUAAACUGGAGAAA